CCUCAUAACAAGAGAAGUAACACAGCUCUCGAAUGGACAUCAUAGUUGAAUGAUGUCACAAUGCCAGGAGUCUUUGCAGGGAAGAGUUCACUUCUUCAAACAGGAGGUCAGAGAGCUUGGAGGUGGUAGGCACAGAUAGAUUAAAAACUGGCACACAAGACCUAGAGUUCAGAUGAAUUAAUAAUGUCUCCUUUUUAUUGUUGUGGAUUUGCUAUUGUUCAGGUUUUGUUUGCUUGUGUGUUGAAACAGGGACUUACUAUAGAGUUCUGGCUUGUCUAGAAUUCAUGACAUAGACCACACUGGCUUGACUUUCAUGUGGUCUUCUUCCUCUGCCUCUGGAGUACUGGGAUUACAGGUAUGGGCCACUGCUUCCAACAACUCAGUACUCAAGUGAAGCCACAACUGGCCCAAGAACCUUCCAGUAUGUUCCACCUCUGAAGGUUCACAAAGUUCCACCCCCACAAUGGGUCCAACUUUCCAACCAACACACACACCCAUGUUGGCACAGGAAUGGGGGAUGCUCGAGAGUCCAAAGCAUAGCUCAUCCAUGGAGUUAUGUUGUGAAUGCUGAUGAAAGCAUGUGUGUCCAGGUGCUGGUCUCCUGGCGGUCUCCCACUUUAAGGAAGGACUCCCAGUUUCCUGUUGUACCGUAUUGUAUCCUCCGUCUCCGGCUGUGAUGAGGUCUCUGGAGCGCCGGCUGGUUUUGGCUCUCAGUUUUAGAGGGCCUCAGCCUGUCUAGGUGGGGAAGGAGUGUGGCUGCCUCAGGAGAGGAGCGCCCCGUGUCAAUACUGCCUCAGUUUGUCAACUUGUCCAAGUCCGGGAGGCAGACAAAGCCAGCCCAGAGCUUUCAAAUGUCUACGCCUGGUGAGCGCUGCUGAUAGCCAGGCCCAAUUCCUAAUGGCUCCCUAGCCUUCUCACAAGCUGGGGACUGUGAAGUCAAAGCAUCCUGUGAGGGACGCUUUCGAUUCAGCCCCCAACACCAUCAACUUCUUCGUUUCUUU
rnacentral:lncRNA from 1 species